rnacentral:lncRNA from 1 species
CUGGCCUGAAAAGAGCUUUAGAAUUUGAUCCACAAUUCUCAAAUUUGGAAGCUAGAGUAAUUAUUGAACAUGAGUAACUGUAGAAAAUUGGACUCAAGUAAAAGUUAUUUUCAUCACUUCAUCUAGCUACAAAGCUGAGCACAGAACUAUGACUAUUCAAACACGUUGAAGAUACAACAGAGAAUGAAUAGCAAUGAAAGACAGUCUUGACUUGCUGCCAAGGAGAAAGAGAAGAGAUGAUGAACGGCCGAUUUGAGACAACUACCACUCAAAGGAUUUAUAAGAAGGAAAUGUUCUACAUUACUCAAGAAGAACAGAACAUGAGUUCAUUACACCCAUUGCAUCUUUUAGAUAGGGCUAAACUCUCAGAUUUUGAAUGCUGUCUUUGAUAAGCAUAGCUAGCUGUACUGUUGUCAUAGCUCAAGACUCAAGUACUGAUUUAUGCCUUGACCCUAAGUAACAUUCUGAAAAUGCUACUAAAUUUGAGAUCCUGAUUUGGAAGUCAAGAAUUGUAUGAUGUAACAUAAUUUUGAAGUCUAAAUACCAGUUAUUCUUGAAAACAAAACAAAACAAAAACACAGCUCCAAAGGCUGGCAAUUAAUCGUCAACAUCAACAUGUGUUUAUUAAGCCCUGCUUUGAGAGCUAUAAAAUAUAUAUUAGAACGUCUCUAUUUUAAGAAGCUCACAAACUUUCUGUAAUAAAGGUAAAGUUUAUUCUCUUCACGAACAGGGCUCCUUGCUAGUAUAUAUGCAUUGUUUAAAGCACAUUCUUCUAGGUUAUUUCAUUCUAUGGGGACUCUGAGUCUUUCAUUGCCUUUGAACUAUUUUACAACACUGUAAAUUGUAGAUAACCGAUAGCAGUACAAAAGAAUUCUCCUCUAUAGAUAUGCAAAUAAAUUCUGUCCAGCGGAAGUUCAAAG